GAUUCUCAAGGUAGCAGAGUUCUUUAUGGCAUGUAGGCACAUGAUGGGACGCCGGUAACUUAUCACACUGGUGAGGAAUGUCUGCCAUGCUUUCUCCUCCAACCAAGUACAAAGGGAUCCUUAUCAUUUGGGGAUGUGACUGUGGGCUUUACCCAGGAGGAGUGGCAGCAUCUGGACCCUGAUCAGAGGACCCUCUACAGGGAGGUGAUGCUGGAGAACUAUAGCCACCUUGUCUCAGUGGGGCCCUGAAGCCCAUGAACUUCGCCAAAUUCCCAUGUUAUUUCCCAAUUACAGGAUGUUGCAUCCCUAAACCAGAAGUGAUCCUGAAGUUGGAGCAAGGAGAGCAGCCAUGGAUGCUAGAGGAAGAGUCCCCAAGUCAGAGCUACCCAGGUGAGUUAGUAUGUAUUAAACAGAUGGACACUAGGUGACAUGGUAUGAAUUGUUUUUAUUCUCAGGUACUUGCUUAUAUGUUCGUUUUCACAUUUAACAA